UUAAUUUAUUCGGUGGAUGAACUUUAACGACCAUCUCAGUGACUGUCAUUCACGUCUCCUCCCUGUUUGGGCAAAAGCUUUAUUAUUUUUGAUACCGUUGACUGGGUUCUCGACUAAUUUUGGCCCUCUAUGUAUUUUCAGUCCGGAUUUUUACCGCACUAAUUUGUUCUUAACGAGCCACCACUGCCGCUGCUCGCCACCCUUUUUUGGGGUUUUUAUUUUGUUUUUUUUGUCACUCUAUUUGGGUGAGC
rnacentral:misc_RNA from 1 species